UCCCUGGUGGUCUAGUGGUUAAGACUCCAUGCUUCCAAUGCAAGGGAUGUGAGUUCAAUCCUUGGUCAGGGAA
rnacentral:tRNA from 1 species